GGGGUCCGCAAGGACAACGGCGAACGGGUGGUAACACGUGAGCGACCUGCCUGAGUGCGGGGGAUAGCGGCCCAACGGCCGGGUAAUACCGCAUACGCUUUUCGAGGGCAUCCUUGGAAAGGAAACCUCCGGGGCACUCAGAGGGGCUCGCGGCCUAUCAGCUAGUUGGCGGGGUAAUGGCCCACCAAGGCGACGACGGGUAGCUGGUCUGAGAGGAUGGCCAGCCACAUUGGGACUGAGAGACGGCCCAGACUCCUACGGGAGGCAGCAGUGGGGAAUCUUGCGCAAUGGCCGAAAGGCUGACGCAGCGACGCCGCGUGUGGGAGGAAGCUCUUCGGGGUGAAACCACUGUUGGCCGGACGAAACUCUCUUUCGAGGAGAUUGACG
rnacentral:rRNA from 1 species